AUUGAACGCUGGCGGCAGGCUUAACACAUGCAAGUCGAGCGGAGAUGAGGUGCUUGCACCUUAUCUUAGCGGCGGACGGGUGAGUAAUGCUUAGGAAUCUGCCUAUUAGUGGGGGACAACAUUCCGAAAGGAAUGCUAAUACCGCAUACGUACUACGGGAGAAAGCAGGGGAUCUGCGGACCUUGCGCUAAUAGAUGAGCCUAAGUCGGAUUAGCUAGUUGGUGGGGUAAAGGCCUACCAAGGCGACGACCUGUAGCGGGUCUGAGAGGAUGAUCCGCCACACUGGGACUGAGACGCGGCCCAGACUCCUACGGGAGGCAGCAGUGGGGAAUAUUGGACAAUGGGGGGAACCCUGAUCCAGCCAUGCCGCGUGUGUGAAGAAGGCCUUAUGGUUGUAAAGCACUUUAAGCGAGGAGGAGGCUACUGAGACUAAUACUCUUGGAUAGUGGACGUUACUCGCAGAAUAAGCACCGGCUAACUCUGUGCCAGCCGCCGCCGUAA
rnacentral:rRNA from 1 species